GAUGAAGAACGUAGCGAAAUGCGAAAAGUAAUGUGAAUUGCAGAAUUCAGUGAAUCAUCGAAUCUUUGAACGCACAUUGCGCCCGCUGGUACUCCGGCGGGCACGCCUGUCCGAGCGUCAUUUCAACCCUCAAGCCCUCCUUCGGGAUGGGCCUGGUGUUGGGGCUCGGCCGCCAUCUCCGGCGGCCGUCCCCUAAAUACAGUGGCGGUCACGUCGCGACUCCUUUGCGUAGUAGAAACACCUUGCUCCGGAUAGCAACGCGGUCCACGCCGUAAAAUCCCCAAUUUUCAAUGGUUGACCUCGGAUCAGGUGGGAAUACCCGCUGAACUUAAGCAUAUCAAUAAGCGGAGGA
rnacentral:misc_RNA from 1 species